rnacentral:lncRNA from 1 species
GCAGCCUGUGGGACGCUUCUCACUUACUUUCAGAACAGUUUUCAAACAAGUGCAAGACUCAGAAAGGACUGUUUGGGAUAUUUGACAGAAGAAUCCGCUCCUCUUCCUCCCUGGCACCUCGUGGAAUUGGACACAAACUGGAAUAUAUUUCAGUGAGCCUGGAGAGCCUCGCGUCACUGGAGAGAAGAGAGAGCUCUGGCAGAGGGCCACAGAGUGGAGGCGGAGGAGGGCAGAGGUGUGCUGGAUGGAGGCCACAGCCGGGCCUGAUGGCAGGAGCCCAGAACACACUGAGCUCUAACAACGUCCUCUAGAAGCCACCGAGGGGCUACAGUUCACGUGGAGACACUGUAAAGGUAUGGAUGGAUGGAUGGAUGGAUGGAUGGAUGGAUGGAUGGAUGGAUGGACGCAGUAGCAUACAGACCAAUCAGUCAAAGCUAACAGAAACAAGUUGUUAACAGAGCUGCAACAAUUAGUCAACUGAAAGAAAAUGAGUCGCCAUCUAUUCUGAUAAUCGAUUAAUCAUGUCAGUCGUUUUUCAAGCAGAUUUGUCAAAUAUCUGCUGGUUCCAGCUCCCUCAAGAAUGUGCUGCUUUUCUUUGUCAUCUAUGACAGUAAAUGAAGAGUCUUUGGGUUUUGGACCGUUGGUUGGACAGAAGAAGUAAUCUGAACACAUCGCUUUGAGCUCUGAGAAAUUGCGAUGAGCAUUUUUCACGACUGUUUAACAUUUAUAGACGAUUAAUCGAUUAAGCGUAAAUACAUUCUGCAGGUUAUUGGAUGCUGAAAUGACUCGUUAGUUGAAGCCCUUGAUGUGAUGUUGAUGUUUUUUGGCUCAUAUUCAGACCGUGCUCGCUCACAAGGUAAUGGCCUCCCUUAAAUGAGACUAGUUUAAUCAAGAAGAGACUUAAGCGGUUAAAACGAUUAAGCGUAAAAACAUUCUGCAGGUUAUUGGAUGCUGAAAUGACUCGUUAGUUGAAGACCUUGAUGUGAUGUUGAUGUUUUUUGGCUCAUAUUCAG